UCCCAAUGCAGGGGACAUGGGUUUGACCCUUGGUUGGGGAACUAAGAUCCUGCAUGUUGCAUGAUGUGUGCAAAAAAUAAAUGGGGACAAUGAUGGGAGACAUGAGGUUAAGUGUCAGUCAGGUAUGCCGAUUGGGGGGAAAGUAUUUUCAGCACCUUCUGUUCCAAUCACACCCAGUCAAUUGCAGUUUCUCAAAUGCUCUUUUCUAGUCCUUGUUUCAGUCUGGAAUAUUCUCUGAGGCCCCUUUUAAAAUCCUACUAAUAAUUCUUUUUUUUUUUUAAAUCCUACUAAUAACUCUUCAAAGCCCAAAUCAUAACGUCAUCUGCUCCAGCUUCAAUCCCUUUUUCCUCCACUGUUUUUUUUCCCCUGCUCAGCUCCAGUUGGUCCCUCACCACAUCCAACGAGUCUUUUCUGAUACUGCUUUGGGCUGCCCUACAAGCUGCAUGCCUCCAGCACAGCUCUUCUCACACUAUAGGCCUCCCUCCACCAAGACCUUCAGGCGUUUUACAAACCCAGGAAGAUCACAGGCCUUAUCUGCAGGCCCCUGACAGACCAGCAGGACUGGGAGUCCCAGACCCCUGGCUACUCUCUUCUUCCGGUUUUGCCGUCCCCCAGGGAAUCCCAAAAGCUUACCCCAGGGAGAACAGUCAGGCAGGCAACUGGAACCGCAGCAUGAGGCUGGAGUCUGGGAGUCUGCGAGGUGUCUGGAGAAGAUGCAGCUGCUGCAGCCUGGACCUGUCUGUACCUGCCCCAGGAGGGAGGGCAGGAGGAUCUCCCAGAAUGCCAAGCAGCCAGCUUCAGGCCAGCCCCAGCCAGAGGGAAACCGGUGGUGCUGGGAACCUUCGGGAUCCAACUGCAAGAGGAAAGAGACCAUUAGCUGCCUCUCCCACCUCAUUACAGCAUCUGAGCCUGCAUCUGGGGUCUGCAGCAGCUUUGACCUGGUCUUCCAUCCAUGCAACUGACCACCUCCUAUGGCAAGGCGGCAAGCUCGUUGUUGAAAUACGGAAAUGAGUGCUUCCAAGCUCCACGUGUCCUGCUAGGCGACUUCAGCAUCUGGAACCCCCCAGCCUGACGUCAGCCUUCACUCACCCAAACACUUCCAGCUUCCUCCCGAGCCCCGUUCUGGAUGAGCAGGGUCUGGGUCAGGGUGGCCUGUCGGGAGGCCAGGAACAGCGCCCGCCGCACCCCGC